UCCACUUCAGCUGUGCUAGUAGGUGGUAGC
rnacentral:piRNA from 1 species